rnacentral:rRNA from 1 species
UACGGAGGGUGCAAGCGUUAUCCGGAUUUACUGGGUUUAAAGGGUGCGUAGGUGGGUUGGUAAGUCAGUGGUGAAAUACUUUCGCUUAACGAAGGAACUGCCAUUGAUACUACCAGUCUUGAAUACAGUGGAGGUAAGCGGAAUGCGUCAUGUAGCGGUGAAAUGCUUAGAUAUGACGCAGAACACCAAUUGCGAAGGCAGCUUGCUACACUGUUAUUGACACUGAGGCACGAAAGCGUGGGGAUCAAACAGG